GGCUUUAAAUCAAAACUAUUCAUUGGCACCUGUCACCCUAUUGAUUGCCAGGGUUCAUUGGGCUUAUCUGGUAAGGUGGGUAUCCUCUUCCUCCCUCAUUGCACCAUGUGGGUCUCUCCGAAAGCUGCACACUUGCUAGAAGAGGAUGGCUGUCCCAGACAGGAGGGGUNCCUUGUUCUCAGGGAGUGGCUAAGAGCAAAGUGGUAGAGCAAAGGGCCUGGGAAGCUGACGGCUGCCAGUUUGAUCCCCAGCCUCUCCCUGGAAAUAGAUAAGGGCAAAGCCCUUCUGU
rnacentral:snRNA from 1 species